UCCCCACAUGUCAAUCCGAAACCGAAACUGAAAACCGUAAACACAACAGGAGUCUCAAUUCACGCUUCUACUCCCGUCUAAUCACAUUCUCACCCGACCUGACCUGAAGACCCAAAGGGGUCUCCUGGAUCAAGCUGGUCAAGCUGCAGCGGCCACUGGUGUCCUGGAAUGGGGAAACCAGCCUUGACAUUCUACCCUCCUUUUUCCCCUUUUUUAUAAAUAAAAAUGUCGUGUCAUCAUCACUUAA